rnacentral:rRNA from 1 species
CACGCCCUAAACGAUGUCAACUGGUUGUUGGGUCUUUACUGACUCAGUAACGAAGCUAACGCGUGAAGUUGACCGCCUGGGGAGUACGGUCGCAAGAUUAAAACUCAAAGGAAUAGACGGGGACCCGCACAAGCGGUGGAGCAUGUGGUUUAAUUCGACGAUACACGAAGAACCUUACCUGGACUUGACAUAGUAAGAACUUUCUAGAGAUAGAUUGGUGUCUGCUUGCAGAAACUUAUAUACAGGUGC